rnacentral:lncRNA from 1 species
AUGGUCGAUGCUUCUGAGCAACAUAGGCCCACAUGGAUUCCAUGUGGCCUGGCAUCCACUGUGCACCCUGUGCUGGCGGGUGGCUCAGGAUGGAGUAGUUGCCUUGCGAUGCCCACUGCCUGCUGGCACAGCAGAUGGUCAGUUCUUCUGAGCAGUGGAGUCCCCACGGAGUCGUGGAGUCGGUGUGGCCUGGCAUCCACGGUGUACCCUGUGCUGGUGGAUGGCUCAGGACGGUAAGCAUUCCUCUGUCCCACAUGCUGCGUGAGGGUGUCUUUAGGAUUUCUGAGACCCACAGGGAGCGGGUCUUCAGGCCAUUAAGGGCAUGGCCAAGGCCUUUA